rnacentral:rRNA from 1 species
ACGUUGGCGGCGUGCGUAACACAUGCAAGUCGAACGAGAACCGGGGAGCUUGCUCCCCGGGGACAGUGGCGAACGGGUGAGUAACACGUGAGUAAUCUGCCCUCGAGCGGGGGAUAACUCCGCGAAAGCGGAGCUAAUACCGCAUGAAACUUUGGAGCAUAAGCUUUCAAAGUCAAAGCUUUCGGGUGCUUGAGGAUGAGCUCGCGGCCUAUUAGCUUGUUGGUAGGGUAACGGCCUACCAAGGCAACGAUGGGUAGCCGGCCUGAGAGGGUGUUCGGUCACACUGGGACUGCGACACGGCCCAGACUCCUACGGGAGGCAGCAGUGGGGAAUUUUGCGCAAUGGGCGAAAGCCUGACGCAGCGACGCCGCGUGGAGGAUGAAGGUUUUCGGAUUGUAAACUCCUGUCAGAGGUGAAGAAAGCCCUUAUGGGUCUGACGGUAACCUCAGAGGAAGCCCCGGCUAACUACGUGCCAGCAGCCGCGGUAAUACGUAGGGGGCAAACGUUGCUCGGAAUUACUGGGCGUAAAGGGUGCGCAGGUGGCUGAGAAAGUCGUUGAUGAAAUCCCGGGGCUUACCCCCGGAACUGUCUUCGAUACUUCUCAGCUUGAGGAUAGUCGAGGAGAACGGAAUUCCCGGUGGAGCGGUGAAAUGCGUAGAUNUCGGGAGGAACACCAGAGGCGAAGGCGGUUCUCUAGGCUGAUCCUGACACUGAGGUACGAAAGCUAGGGGAGCGAACGGGAUUAGAUACCCCGGUAGUCCUAGCUGUAAACGAUGGGCACUAGAUGUUUCCGCGUCUCAGCGGGAGUGUCGAAAGUUACGCGAUAAGUGCCCCGCCUGGGGAUUA